GGAGGGUGCAAGCGUUAAUCGGAAUUACUGGGCGUAAAGGGCGCGUAGGUUAUUAAGUAAGUUGGCUGUGAAAGCCCCCGGGCUUAACCUGGGAUGGUCAGUCAAAACUGCUUGACUAGAGUGCAGUAGAGGGUAGUGGAAUUUCAGGUGUAGCGGUGAAAUGCGUAGAGAUCCGAAGGAACACCAGUGGCGAAGGCGGCUACCUGGACUGACACUGACACUGAUGCGCGAAAGCGUGGGGAGCGAACAGGGAUUAGAUACCCUGGUAGUCCACGCCGUAAACGAUGUCAACUAGCCCGUUGGAUAAUUUAAUUAUUUAGUGGCGCAGCUAACGCGAUAAGUUGACCGCCUGGGGAGUACGGUCGCAAGAUUA
rnacentral:rRNA from 1 species